rnacentral:rRNA from 1 species
AGUAACGGCGAGUGAAGCGGGAAGAGCUCAAAUUUGAAAUCUAACGGACUCAGUCUGUUCGAGUUGUAAUCUAUAGGAACGUUUUCCGUGCCGGCUCAUGUACAAGUCCCUUGGAACAGGGCGUCAUAGAGGGUGAGAAUCCCGUACUUGACAUGAACUACCGGUGCUCUGUGAUACGUCUCCAACGAGUCGAGUUGUUUGGGAAUGCAGCUCAAAAUGGGUGGUAAAUUCCAUCUAAAGCUAAAUAUUGGUGUGAGACCGAUAGCGAACAAGUACCGUGAGGGAAAGAUGAAAAGCACUUUGGAAAGAGAGUUAAACAGUAUGUGAAAUUGUUGAAAGGGAAACGAUUGAAGUCAGUCAUGUCCUUCAGAUUCAGCUGGUUCUGCCGGUGUACUUCUGUUGGAUGGGGUCAACAUCAGUUUUGGAUGCCGGAUAAAGGCUGGAGGAAGGUAGCACCCCCGGGUGAACUUAUAGCCUCCUGUCGCAUACGGUGACCGGGACUGAGGAACGCAGCUUGCCUUUAUGGCCGGGGUUCGCCCACGU